rnacentral:rRNA from 1 species
UAGGGAAUAUUGGACAAUGGGUGAGAGCCUGAUCCAGCCAUGCCGCGUGCAGGAAGAAGGCGUUAUGCGUUGUAAACUGCUUUUUGCCAGGGGAUAAAAAGACCGUGCGCGGUUAAUUGAAGGUACCUGGUGAAUAAGCCACGGCUAACUACGUGCCAGCAGCCGCGGUAAUACGUAGGUGGCAAGCGUUGUCCGGAUUUAUUGGGUUUAAAGGGUGCGUAGGUGGCCCUGUAAGUCAGUGGUGAAAUAUCUCAGCUUAACUGAGAGGGUGCCAUUGAUACUGCAGGGCUUGAGUACAGAUGAGGUAGGCGGAAUUGACGGUGUAGCGGUGAAAUGCAUAGAUAUCGUCAAGAACACCGAUAGCGAAGGCAGCUUACCAAGCUGUAACUGACACUGAGGCACGAAAGUGUGGGGAUCAAACAGGAUUAGAUACCCCAGUAGUCCCUGAGCGGGCUGGCAAGGCGCAU